UACGUAGGGCGCAAGCGUUGUCCGGAAUUAUUGGGCGUAAAGGGCUCGUAGGCGGUCUGUCGCGUCUGCUGUGAAACUCAGGGCUUAACCCUGAGCUUGCAGUGGGUACGGGCAGACUAGAGUGCGGUAGGGGAGACUGGAAUUCCUGGUGUAGCGGUGAAAUGCGCAGAUAUCAGGAGGAACACCGGUGGCGAAGGCGGGUCUCUGGGCCGUAACUGACGC
rnacentral:rRNA from 1 species